AAAGUUUGUGAAAAUUUAAACGGUAAAAAUUGGUUGGUUCAACGAUAACAAUGAGUUUGAUUCUGUCCGUUUAGAGCAAUUAACAAUUAACUACUAUGAUUAACUUUAUACACUUUGAUUAACCUGUAAAACCAUCAAUCCAUGAUGGUUAAAACUAUGGUCUUGAUUUGGUUUAGCCUCUUAAUUGUUGUUGACACUAAUUACUGGUCAUUCUUUUAUUUUCAAUCUGAAAAUUGUAAUAAUAACAAUUUAAUUUAAUUGGUCAGCAAGUAGGAAACCUAAAUAGUAACUAAAUUAACCAGAAAAAAUGGGCAGUUUGGAAAUCAACUGACCCAUCCUUCCUUGUUUUUAAUUGUCCAAUUAAAUUUGAUUCACAAUUUUCAUAUAAAUACAAAUUCAACAAACGUUGUAACGGUUUCUUUAACUUUCCACCUUUCACCAACAACAAUCAAUUUUAAUUGUAACAGAAGCAAAGUUUCACCAACAAUUAGGAUUGUGAUCUAGUGAUCAACCAUCACAGAGUUUUUUUUGUUUCCGUUUUUUCAUAAGAUGCGUUUCCUGUUGAGAUUAUUGUCAAUUUUUGCUGUUAUUUCAUUCAUCUCAGCAGCAACUGGUUGGGGUUGGUAUCCUUGGCUUUAUCCUGGACAUUAUCCUUAUUAUUUUGGUUAUCCUCAUUAUUAUGGUGGCAGCUACGGAACAGGUUACGGGAUUUGGGGAGGAUACGUUGGUUGAUUUGAUUGCUAAUUGAUGUGAUUUCUUGUUAAUUGUCAACUCGAUGGUGAUGAUUAAAUUGAUUUCAUGGAACAACGUUAAGUUAACAAAAACAUCAUGGAAAAUUGUAUGACGAUCAUGAUGCAAAUGAAGAUCACUUUUCCUCCUUCAAUGUUGAUAUCAGGACGAUCACUUUGUUUCCAAUUAGCCUCUUUGGGUUUCCAAUUAAAUUUGAUUGUUUCAUUUGUUUCGCCGUCGCUUCUUGUUAAUCAUACGCAAUAAAUUGAUCACUUAAUUUGUUUC